UACGUAGGGGGCAAGCGUUGUCCGGAUUUAUUGGGCGUAAAGAGCGUGUAGGCGGCUAGAUAGGUCCGUUGUGAAAACUCGAGGCUCAACCUCGAGACGCCGAUGGAAACCAUCUAGCUAGAGUCCGGAAGAGGAGAAUGGAAUUCCUGGUGUAGCGGUGAAAUGCGCAGAUAUCAGGAAGAACACCCGUGGCUAAGGCGGUUCUCUAGUACGGUACUGACGCUGAGGUAUGAAAGCGUGGGGAGCAAACAGG
rnacentral:rRNA from 1 species